ACCGAUGAGGAGUGUCAUCCCUCCUGAUGUCGAGAUGAUGACAUUAUCCCCACCUGAGG
rnacentral:snoRNA from 19 species